UAAAAGGAAAAGGUGUAGUCACUGGGCCAUUCCGCCCUGCUUGCGCCUUCCGAGAUCACCAGGGAUACCCGGUCAGCGCGCGCUGAGCGGACACAAGGUUCCCAGCAAAAGGCGCGCGUCUGUUGGAACGAUUUGAAAACAGGUGUGAAAACUGAGGCCAGAGACAGUCUCUAAGAGCCGCACCCCCAGAUCACUCUGCAAGUUCUUGGGACCAGGGCCUCAGCCCCAAAUGUCUGAGGCCAGAGAUCUUUUCCACGAUGUCAUGUUGGCAAGAAACGGCACCCUCCACCACUCCCCACAGCCCCAACUAUCAACUCUACUUCCUAGCCAGGAGGUUUCCUAGAAGCUGCAAAACUAUUGUACCGUAUCACGGCCAGGAUGAUAACACGGAUACUGUCAUAUCCAGAACUUUUACAUCACAACAAGGAUUGCUCCUUUCGCUCUUAUAAGCCACUCCCACUUGUCUUCCACUCUCAUGUCCCCCUUAACCUCUGACACCACUCAUCUUCUCUCCAUGUCUAUAACUUGUCAUUUCAAGAAUGUCAUAUAAGGGCCGGCCAAGUGGCGCGAUGGUUAAGAACUCGCUUGGGAUGCCAGAGGG